GACGAACGCUGGCGGCGUGCUUAACACAUGCAAGUCGAACGGAAAGGCCUGCUUUCCCUUGUGGAUUGCGGGUACUCGAGUGGCGAACGGGUGAGUAACACGUGAGUGAUCUGCCCCCAACUUGGGUAUAAGCCUGGGAAACUGGGUCUAAUUCCCGAUAGGACUGCAGGGUGGUGCCUGUGGUGGAAAACGAUUUUCUAGUGGUUGGGGAUGAGCUCGCGGCCUAUCAGCUUGUUGGUGGGGUAAUGGCCUACCAAGGCGGCGACGGGUAGCCGGCCUGGGAGGGUGGACGGGCACAUUGGGACUGAGAUACGGCCCAGACGCCUACGGGAGGCAGCAGUGGGGAAUAUUGCACAAUGGGCGGAAGCCUGAUGCAGCGACGCCGCGUGGGGGAUGACGGGCUUCGGGUUGUAAACUCCUUUCGACCGCGAGGAAGCCACCUGGUUGGAAGGGUGGUGACGGUAGUGGUAGAAGAAGCACCGGCUAACUACGUG
rnacentral:rRNA from 1 species